UUUAAGGUCUAACCUGCCCAAUGAGGAUUUAAAUGGCCGCAGUAUUUUGACUGUGCAAAGGUAGCAUAAUUAUUAGUUUUUUAAUUGAAAGCUUGUAUGAAGGGUUGGACGAGAUAAAAUCUGUCUUUAUUUAAAUUAAAGUAUAAUUUAACUUUUAAGUCAAAAGGCUUAAAUGUUUAUAAAAGACGAGAAGACCCUAUAGAUCUUUAUUUAGUUAAGAUUUUAAUAAUUUAGGAUUAUUUUAAUUUGGAGUCUUAAUUGAAUUUUAUUGGGGUAAUAUAAAGAUUAAAUGAAUUCUUUUUAUUUAUGACAUUAAUUUAUGAAUAUAUGAUCCAUUAAUAUUGAUUAUAAGAUUAAGUUACCUUAGGGAUAACAGCGUAAUUUUUUUGGAGAGCCCAUAUCGAUAAGAAAGUUUGCGACCUCGAUGUUGGAUUAAAAAUUAGCUUGGGUGCAGAAGCUCAAGAUUUUGGUCUGUUCGACCAUUAAAUUUUUACAUGAUCUGAGUUCAGACCGGCGUAAGCCAGGUCGGUUUCUAUCUUUAUUCAGAUAAAAUAUUUUAGUACGAAAGGACCAAGUAUUUAAUAUAAUUAUAUUUAUUUUUU
rnacentral:rRNA from 1 species